rnacentral:misc_RNA from 1 species
GUGAAUCAUCAAAUUUUUGAACGCAUAUUGCACUCUCUGGUAUUCCGGAGAGUAUGCCUGUUUGAGGGUCAGUUAAAUAAAAAUCGGGGGUUUUGCCACCUUUGGUGGUUACGCUUCGCAAUUGGGUCGUCUUUACCUUUCGCUUAAGUGCCGUAAAAUUUUUGAAUGAUAUCUGAAUGUAUUUAACUUUAUUUGGUACGUCCUGUAAUAUCGAAUGUUUAUUCGAAGUUGUCAUCGUCAUGGGUCACGUC